rnacentral:rRNA from 1 species
AUUGAACGCUGGCGGCAGGCCUAACACAUGCAAGUCGAGCGGAUGAAGGGAGCUUGCUCCUGGAUUCAGCGGCGGACGGGUGAGUAAUGCCUAGGAAUCUGCCUGGUAGUGGGGGAUAACGUCCGGAAACGGGCGCUAAUACCGCAUACGUCCUGAGGGAGAAAGUGGGGGAUCUUCGGACCUCACGCUAUCAGAUGAGCCUAGGUCGGAUUAGCUAGUUGGUGGGGUAAAGGCCUACCAAGGCGACGAUCCGUAACUGGUCUGAGAGGAUGGUCAGUCACACUGGAACUGGGACACGGUCCAGGCUCCUACGGGAGGCAGCAGUGGGGAAUAUUGGACAAUAGGCGAAAGCCUGAUCCAGCCAUGCCGCGUGUGUGAAGAAGGUCUUCGGAUUGUAAAGCACUUUAAGUUGGGAGGAAGGGCAGUAAGUUAAUACCUUGCUGUUUUGACGUUACCAACAGAAUAAGCACCGGCUAACUUCGUG